rnacentral:lncRNA from 1 species
CGAGAACAGACAAUGUGGCUGAACAGGCAGCGAUACACAAUGGUUCCUGUAACCUGUUUUUAAAGGACUCCUAACAAGCAUGGUGGAGACUAAAAGAAAUGAAGAUCAGAUGAAAAAACAAAUGAACAAAUAAGAAAGAGCAAACCAACCAACAAGCAAGCAAGGGAUAAAAGAAGCUUUUGACAUUUAGUUGCAGAAUUCUGAUUGUGAAAAAAUCUUUCUUUGAGCAACCUUGAAAUCAUUCUUACUUUAUAAUAAGAUUUUAAAGAUUCCAGGAGAUCGAAGUAAGAUUCAGAUGCCUAAACAUAACAAUAUUGAGGUUUAUGGAGGUUUUGCUGGUUAUCCCAUGCUUAUA